UGAGGAAUCUUGCACAAUGGGGGCAACCCUGAUGCAGCGACGCCGCGUGAGCGAUGAAGGUUUUCGAAUCGUAAAGCUCUGUCCUAUGGGAAGAUAAUGACGGUACCAUAGGAGGAAGCCCCGGCUAACUACGUGCCAGCAGCCGCGGUAAUACGUAGGGGGCGAGCGUUGUCCGGAAUUACUGGGCGUAAAUGGUUCGCAGGCGGCAUGGCAAGUCCGAUGUAAAAGGCGAAGGCUCAACCUUCGUAAGCAUCGGAAACUGUCAAGCUUGAGUGAAGGAGAGGCAAGUGGAAUUCCUAGUGUAGCGGUGGAAUGCGUAGAUAUUAGGAGGAAUACCGGUGGCGAAGGCGACUUGCUGGACUUCAACUGACGCUGAGGAACGAAAGCGUGGGUAGCAAACAGG
rnacentral:rRNA from 1 species